rnacentral:lncRNA from 1 species
CGAGGAGGGGGGAGGAAUGCAUUACUGCAAGCGGUGCUGUUGGGUUCUUGAGCUCUUUCAGUGACCCAAAAGAAGACGGAUUUUGCUGAUGUGUAAAGCCUGGCAAUCAGCUGGGUUCUGCCAGGCAGGGCCGCCCUGCGCUGUGUCGGAUGCUCCCUGCAAGAGGCUCCUCGAGGGAGCGAGUGAGAAGCAGCAAGAGCUCGCCAGAAUCUGGAUACAUCUUUAUUUAAGGUGCUGUGACUACCUCUGGAAGCCAGAAACAGCUUUCGGAAUGAACAAGACAAACAGUGAAGUAAAGAUCAAGGAUGCUUUAAAUGAAGUGUAACAUCCUCAUGCUCCUGCCUUUAAUGUGCUGGAAAAUAAGUGCAAAAAGAAAAAUACGCAGUGCAAUGAAUUUGACUCUUUCAACACUUGCUUAAAGGGACCAACGUUCUUGCUGGAACCUGGAUUUCAGGAGGCGUUGCUGUGCUGAUAGUGCAGCGCUAUAUGCACUUCCUCUGUUCCCCUCUUGCAGUGCAAUGGUUGUAUUGCUGGCUGUGGUCAGCUGCAUUCCCUCUUUCUGAAAUGGCUUUUCUUCCCCUGCGAAAGGAGCAUUGAAUUCAAGAUCUGCAUUUGGAAAAACAAAUGAGUAAACAACAACUGAAAAAAUCAGCAUACUUGUGGCUGUGAAGUAACUGAGCUUUUCAUCUUUGGCAUAUGGUUCUUCAGAGCUGUAGCACUGCUGAGAAUAUCUUCUUUUCUUAGUUUCUAGCAAGUCAUGUAGGCAGUGAAACCACUGGCAUUGAGGUCAGAUGAGCUCUGGGAUGGGCCUGGGCUUGGGAGUAGACUGCUGGAGACAGUGCCCAUCCUUGCUAUGGUGCUAAUGAGAAACCAACAUAAAGAGCAAAUUAUGUGUGAAGAAUUGAGGUGGCAGAGGUGUGACUCAGUUUGGGUGAGCCCAAAGCUGUGCUUCUGAAGGGCAGCUUUCACACUAGUCCUGCUCCUUUCCUGGUAAGCCCUGUGUUCCAGUGGUGGCCUGUGAAAUCUCUGAUGAAGCGGAAUUCAGCUGUCCCCUUUCUGCUGUGUCCCAGCAGACUCAGAUGUCUUCUGAUGCCAUUUUUAUUCCUUCUGUCUGCAACACAUCCAGGUUUAGGCUGAGCUUUUCAAAAGCAACAGCUGGAAAUUAGGCACCCUCUCCUACAGACUCUUGCUGGGAUUUGGCUGUGCUGCAGAAUGCAGCUUUGGGCAUGGUUUGGUGUCCCAUCAGGGUUAGGGCUUUCCCAGUCCCUGAAGAGGAUGGGACAUGCCUCGCCAUUUAUGCUUACUGCUUGCAAUAAAAUUUGGUUUGUGAUUGGACA